GACGAACGCUGGCGGCGUGCUUAACACAUGCAAGUCGAACGGAAAGGCCCUGCUUUUGUGGGGUGCUCGAGUGGCGAACGGGUGAGUAACACGUGAGUAACCUGCCCUUGACUUUGGGAUAACUUCAGGAAACUGGGGCUAAUACCGGAUAGGAGCUCCUGCUGCAUGGUGGGGGUUGGAAAGUUUCGGCGGUUGGGGAUGGACUGGCGGGUUAUCAGCUUGUUGGUGGGGUAGUGGCUUACCAAGGCUUUGACGGGUAGCCGGCCUGGGUGGGUGACCGGCCGCAUUGGGACUGAGAUACGGCCCAGACGCCUACGGGGGGCAACAGUGGGGAAUAUUGCACAAUGGGCGGACGCCUGAUGCAGCAACGCCGCGUGCGGGAUGACGGCCUUCGGGUUGUAAACCGCUUUCGCCUGUGACGAAGCGUGAGUGACGGUAAUGGGUAAAGAAGCACCGGCUAACUACGUG
rnacentral:rRNA from 1 species